rnacentral:ncRNA from 2 species
UGCAAGAGUAGAAGCGUUCACCAGCCGCGCACACCAUGCCGGCUGGCCGGGAAUUGCUCUUGAA